rnacentral:lncRNA from 1 species
UCGUCUGUCCAGAGUAUAGAUUACUUUAUCUUAACUACAAGUUAAAGAUUUGAACUGAAAAUAUAACAAUCUAUUUCUCCUAAGUACGCACCGUACCUAUAGAUCACAACAUGUCUAUGAAGUGUAUAGGUUGUGCAUGCUAAAUUCAAACCUCUAAAGGAAGAAGAAAGAAUAUCAAAUAAACAUGAAGCACAAAAUAAUUCUUUAUUUCAUUGCAUAGGAAAUGCAUACAAGAGAAAGAAAAUAAAUCUGUAUUGCAGGUUUCAUCAUCUUCUCGAGUUGAAGAAGUUUAGCUUUCCAUCGAACUCUUUCUUACUAACAUCUUGGUGGGGCUAAGGAGAGUUCUGAGCAGCAGCUGAAAAAUGUCUGACGGUAGCAGAAGGAGGGAUGAUGGCACCAGGAAGAAAGAGAUUUUGGUGUGGAGAAAGAUGGUGGCUAUGUGAAGAAGAGAUAAAACAAUGGUAGCUGGAAUGGUUUCUAAGUGGAGAAGAAGGAUGGCGGACUUGUGCUGUCGAAGAAAAAAAAUAUCUUCC